UACGAAGGGGCUAGCGUUGUUCGGAAUUACUGGGCGUAAAGCGCACGUAGGCGGCGCAGCAAGUUGGGGGUGAAAUCCCGAGGCUCAACCUCGGAAUUGCCUUCAAAACUGCUGUGCUCGAGUUCGGAAGAGGUGAGUGGAAUUCCCAGUGUAGAGGUGAAAUUCGUAGAGAUUGGGAAGAACACCAGUGGCGAAGGCGGCCACUGGCUCGAUACUGACGCUGAGGUGACGAAA
rnacentral:rRNA from 1 species